rnacentral:lncRNA from 1 species
CUUAAAGGUUCCUUGCCCAAGAAAAGGAAACAGAAACCUGCUGAGAUAGCCAAGGGGGAAAGAGAAGAGAGAGUGACCUCUUUAGAAAGAGCUGCAGCCCUGGAAAUCUGACUAAUGGCUGGAGAGGGCCAGAUGUUUUAUCCUGCUACGUUAAGUCAUCUUGACAUGCUGCCACGAAAUGGAAACAACUGCUAGUUUUAAUAUCGCUCCAUAUCUUUAUUACAAGUCGAAAGGCUUGGACUUCAUGGAUGAGGACUUGUGUUUUCAUUUGAAUGAGGAACCGACUGUCUGAGCCAGCAGCUGAAGAUUCCAAAGAAUCAUGGUGUCUCCUCUGACAAUGGGUCCUUAGAGAGCCCUCUUCUAUCCCAGCAGCAAAGGCCCCUCACUGUGAUCGUCCGGUGGUGCUGACUUGCCCAUGAAACCCUCGGUCCUACACCUUGGAGACUGCCUUCUGUCCAAAGUGUUUGAGACGGGGCCCUGGUUUUAUGAACUCAGUGCCUGUC